AGAGGAGAAGUGUGGAAAGGAGAGGGUGAAGUCAGGGGGGAAUAGCUCCUGUUGCCCAGCCACGCUGCUGCCGCUGCUGCAGGAGGAUUGUCCUCCAUUCCUGUAUGGAUAAAGGGGAUUGGAGGGGUAAAGAAAAAGGAAAAAUACAACAUAAAUGGCUCCAGAUAUAUGAGCGACAUUUUAUAUCUUUGGCAAGUUUUGGAGUGUAACCCUUUGAGAAGACUCGUAUAAAGGAGAAUGUGUUGGUCAUGACACAACGUAUCCUGUACAACGAGUUGAUUAUGGACAUAAGCUGCAGACACAGGACUGUAAACAUUUUUAUUUGGGCUUAUAACGUGCAGCCUGUCAACAGUAAGGGAAAAAAUCCACAACCUGUGUGACCUGACGCUCAGCAUCUCGCUCCGCUGAUUGGCAGUAAUGCUAUUUAAUCAAAUGUCAAACAGCACAGGUUUAUGAUACACAAGCCAACCUUUGAAUCGCUGCUUCAAGUGAAUGGAAUUUGUGUGCGCACGCAAACAAACACACCGGAGCCUAAACACACACACGCCGAAUGCUUUUACUAAGCGGUCAGAGCUUUUGAGUCAAUAAUUUUGAUAUCAGAAAUGGUUUUCUAUCCACUCUGUGUGUGUGUGUGUGUGUGUGUGUGUGUGUGUGUGUGAAGGGAGAAGAAAGGGGGAAAAAGUCAUCACUUCACGUCUUGUUUAUGUGCUUGUCAUUUAUUCGCUGUCUGCGUUAUAUAUCCCGGGAAGCAUUCUCACAUUUCAAAAACUCCCUUGCCAUUUCAAAAAUAAUUGGCCAGUUCCUUGUGCUGAGCCGACUCCACAUCCAGUAGGUUUUGUUUUUUUUUUUUUCCCACAUGCAACCAAGCUGCCAAAGCGCUCACUUUCUUUUGCUGCUGACAAUGUGUCAACACGUUGAUGUCAGCAACAAUAACAAUAAAACUGUUGUGUGUGAA